rnacentral:rRNA from 1 species
AGCGAACGCUGGCGGCAGGCCUAACACAUGCAAGUCGAACGAACUCUUCGGAGUUAGUGGCGGACGGGUGAGUAACACGUGGGAACGUGCCUUUUGGUUCGGAAUAACUCAGGGAAACUUGUGCUAAUACCGAAUGUGCCCUUCGGGGGAAAGAUUUAUCGCCAUUAGAGCGGCCCGCGUCUGAUUAGCUAGUUGGUGAGGUAACGGCUCACCAAGGCGACGAUCAGUAGCUGGUCUGAGAGGAUGACCAGCCACACUGGGACUGAGACACGGCCCAGACUCCUACGGGAGGCAGCAGUGGGGAAUCUUGCGCAAUGGGCGAAAGCCUGACGCAGCCAUGCCGCGUGAAUGAUGAAGGUCCUAGGAUUGUAAAAUUCUUUCAACGGGGACGAUAAUGACGGUACCCGGAGAAGAAGCCCCGGCUAACUUCGUG